rnacentral:rRNA from 1 species
UACGUAGGUGGCGAGCGUUGUCCGGAAUUACUGGGUGUAAAGCGCGUGUAGGCGGGAGGCCAAGUCUGCUGUGAAAUCGCCCGGCUCAACUGGGCGGGGUCGGUGGAAACUGGUCACCUGGAGGACGGUAGAGGCGAGUGGAAUUCCCGGUGUAGUGGUGAAAUGCGUAGAGAUCGGGAGGAACACCAGUGGCGAAGGCGGCUCGCUGGGCCGGACCUGACGCUGAGACGCGAAGGCGCGGGGAGCGAACGGG